GACGAACGCUGGCGGCGUGCCUAAUACAUGCAAGUUGAGCGAUCAAGCUUGGUGCUUGCACCUAUUUUAAUAGCAGCGAACGGGUGAGUAACGCGUGGGUAAUCUGCCUUUGAGCGGGGGACAACAUUUGGAAACGAAUGCUAAUACCGCAUAAUAACUUUAACCAUAUGUUUUAAGUUUGAAAGAUGCAAUUGCAUCACUCAAAGAUGAUCCCGCGUUUUAUUAGCUUGUUUGUGAGGUAAACGCCCACCAAAGCGAUGAUACCUAGCCUACCUGAGAGGGGGGUAGGCCAAAAUGGGAAUGGGAAAAGGCCCAAACUCCUAAGGGGGGCAGCAGGAGGGAAUCCUUGGGAAUGGGCGAAAGGCCGAACGAGGAAAGCCGGGGGGGGGAAGAAGGGUGUUGGAUUGGAAAACUCUGGUGGUAGAGAAGAAAGAUGGGGAGAGGGAAAAGCGCAUCAAGUGACGGUAACUAAUCAGAAAGGGACGGCUAACUACGUG
rnacentral:rRNA from 1 species